rnacentral:tRNA from 1 species
CCGGGUGUAGCGCAGUCUGGUAGCGUGGCUGAUUUGGAGUCAGUAGGUCGCAUGUUCGAAUCAUGCCACCCGGA